rnacentral:sRNA from 2 species
CACUGAAAACCGGCACGGGCGUUGAGGAAACUCUGCGCCCGUGUGCUUGUGUUAAGGGACAAAACGGAUGG